CAGCAGAGAGUGGAAAAAGGAUGGUCAGCUUCUGUCUGCUGGUGACAAUAUCAUCGUCUCUGAGGAUAAGAGAGUGCUGUCCAUAAACCCUGAAGAGAACAGACAGUGGAGAAUACCUGUGUAGAGUCAGAAACCCUGUCAGCUCUACAAAUGCCAGUGACACUGUGAAUGUAAUCUCGGAGGGCUCUCUAACUCCAGGUCUGUCUGCUGAUGCCAUCGCUGGGAUUCAGGUAAAAGCUCUGCCAAUGGAGGGGGA